UUGUGUGCACCAAACAAGAAGGGUGGAUUAGGCUUCAGGGACCUUCACAACUUUAAUCUUGCUAUGUUAGCAAAGUAGUGUUGGCGUCUUCUCUAAAAUCAGGACUUGUUGUGUGAACGUGUAUUAAGUGCUAAUUACCACAAUGGUGACAUAUUAAAGGCUGGACCAAGGAAAGGGUUUUCGUUUACUUGGCAAAGUAUUGUGGCUAGAAUUCAAACUUUCAAGAGAGGUUGUAUAUGGCGGGUUGGAGCGGGCUCGCAAAUAAAUAUUUGGGAUGAUCCUUGGAUUCCUUCUAGUGCGUCAAGAAAGGUUAUAACACCUAGAGCAGGGACAAUGUUAACAUUAGUGGAGGAAAUUAUAGACCCUCACACGGGACAGUGGGAUCUGGACCUUAUUAGGUCUGUCUUUCCACCGGUUGAUGUUGCUAAAAUAAUUCAAAUUCCGCUCCGGAUGGAGGCUGUGGAAGAUUUUGUGGCGUGACAGUUUACAAGGUCAAGAACCUUCCUGAUUCGGCCGGCGUACCACGCGACAUUUAAUCAUUAG
rnacentral:rRNA from 1 species